UCUGCCAGCUCUGCUCCGUUUGAGGAAUGCUGUUGGUAGGUCUGAGGUUAUCAGAAAGACGGCGAUUUGGCUGGGGACAGAGACAAAGGGGAUGGAGAGACUCAGAGAACAGAAUCAGGCUCACAGAAGCCAGGCAGAGUGUGUCGGUGAUAAAGCUGGCCUCAAAGGAGAGGAAGGGCUGACCCGGCUCCCUUCCCCAGGCACCUCGCCGCCGAGGCCUGGCCUCAUGGAAAUGGCUCUCUGCUCCCGCUGGCCAGCGGCCAGGCCAACAGCAGCCUCGGCAAGCUGCAUCCCCAGAUAGCCUCUUCACGGACUAGGAAAGGCGACAGAAGGGCUCACCUUCAGAUCAUGGAGCUGAAGGAGUCAUGUUACAGCCACAAAGAGACCCGUGGCGAUGUCGGGAGACGUUUUAGGUUGUCCGAUCUGGAGGAAGGGCGGGUGCUACUGAGAUCCAGAAGAGGCAGAACUGUGCAGUGAUUGCGUACGUGGCAGCUGGCCUCAGACUGUCUGACGUCUGGGUGUGAAUCCAGCUGUCCCACUGGCCUGGGCAGCUAGGCUGGGCAGCCUUGCUUGAGGUAUGAGAUUCUUUGGGACUUGAUUUCCUCAUCUGUGCAAUGGGAGCCAUAAUAAUACUGAUAAUAAUACCCACCUGGAAAUUCACUGACUCCGUGUUGUCAAGCACGGGUAGCCACACACACAGUGAACACUCAUGAGGUUGCAAUUAGGAUUUCCCUCUGCUCACUCUUAAAAAGGUAAUUUCUGAAUGCCUCCAAGUCAUUUCUCUUCCUUUUCUCAACAUCGAACGUCCCAAAGAAGCACAAGGAUACAUCCUGGUAGCUGGCACGUUCUAAGCAUUGUCAGGUACUGUUGUAAGCAAUUUCCAUAAACUAACCAAUCACCCUCACAAACCUGUGUGCAAUGGGCACCUUAGAGUCAUCAACCCAUUUCCCAGAUGAGGAAGCUGAGGAAGUAUUCAUAGCCUCCUUCUCUUUCCAUCUCCUUCUGCCUGCUCCUCACUUUUUCCUCAACGCCUUCCAAUUAUUUACCCAGAAAUUGCCGUGCCAUCAAUAAGGGACGGAUUGAGUAAACAUGGUCCUGCCAUACAGACAGAAGAUUCUACAGCUGUGGCCCAAGAAUCUGGGAACUCUUACGUACCGAUACGGAACACUCUCUAAGACCCAUUCUUGAGUUGAAAAACAAAACAAGAACAGUAUGUGAAAUAUGUCAUUAAAAAAAAAAAUAGGCAAACC